GCAGGUGCCUCAGGGUGGUCUCUGCUGGGAAGCACCGCCCAACCCCAGCCUAAUGGUGCCCCUGUCCGUGUUUGGCCAAAGCUCCAGGACCACUCUCACGUGCUGGUGUCCAUCCCCUGUCGGCCCUCCGAGCGGACCCGGGGUGCUGCCCGCCAGUUGGGGAUCACCAUCCCUGGCAGCUGGGUUCUGACUGGCCAAUGUACACCGAAACAUUCUGCUCUGCAUGAAUCCCAAAUAUUUUUCUCCAGAGUUGAAAGCUCUUUGUGAGCGUAAUCUGCCAGUCCAAACAGAAGAAAAUCUCUAUUUGGUCUGAAGAGCAGAACUUGGCGUGGCUUGCAGGGGAAAACGCCAAGUACGCGAGGCUGUUUGCUCUCCUUGCAACAGUCAUGACUGCUCCUUAGCUCCACUAAGGCACAUCUGGCUGUCAUCUCUGCACAUCUGUAUCCUGUGAUUUACACGGUUUUCUCCUAAUGCUUUAUGAGAGCGGAAGAGCACA